rnacentral:rRNA from 1 species
UCAAGGUUGGCGAGAACCCCGGGAACUGGGGCUAAUCCCAGAUAGAUGAGAACUCCUGGAACGGAUUCUCGUCCAAAAGGCGUCUAGGUCAUGCUUCUAGGCGUCGCUCAAGGAUGGGGCCGCGGCCGAUCAGGCUGUUGGUGAGGCAACGGCUCACCAAACCUUUAACCGGUACGGGCCGUGGGAGCGGGUGCCCGGAGAUGGGAACUGAGACAAGGUCCCAGGCCCUACGGGGCGCAGCCGUUGCGAAACCUCGUCAAUGCACGAAAGUGUGAACGGGCUACCCCGAGUGCCGUCCGCUGAGGAUGGCUUUUCUCUGCUGUAAGGAGGCGGAGGAAUAAGGAGAGGGCAAGUCUGGUGUCAGCCGCCGCGGUAAUACCAGCUCUCCGAGUGGUGGGGAUGUUUAUUGGGCUUAAAGCGUCCGUAGCCUGCCCUUCAAGUCUUUCGUUAAAUCCAGCGAUUCAAUCGUUGGACUGCGGGAGAUACUGUUGGGCUAGGGGGCGGGAGAAGCCGACGGUAUUUCCGGGGUAGGGGUAAAAUCCUAUAAUCCCGGGAGGACCACCAGUGGCGUAGGCGGUCGGCUAGCACGUGCUCGACGGUGAGGGACGAAAGCUGGGGGAGCAAACCGGAUUAGAUACCCGGAUAGUCCCAGCUGUAAACGAUGCGGGCUAGGUGUUGGAGUGGCCACGAGCCACUUCAGUGCCGCAGGGAAGCCAUUAAGCCCGCCGCCUGGGGAGUACGGCCGCAAGGCUGAAACUUAAAGGAAUUGGCGGGGGAGCAC